rfam:Pteropus alecto contig76290, whole genome shotgun sequence.
GGUUCCACAGUGUAGCAGUUAGCACGUCUGCUUUACACGCAGAAGGUCCUGGGUUCGCACCCCAGGUGGAGCCA